ensembl:lncRNA
CACAGGGGGGGGGCGUCAGGCCGGCCCGUCAUGAAGGAACACAAGAAGAUACAGAGAGAGAGAAGAGAGAACAGGAUGGCCCUAAUGCACCACGCCCACAAGGGCUCUGGACCCACUGGGACCCACUGGCUCCUACUGGGACGCGACCCACUGGGACCCACUGGGAGGGUCCCACUGGGAGGGUCCCACUGGGAGGGUUCCAGUGGGACCCACUGGGACCCACUGGGUCCUACUGGGACGCGACCCACUGGGACCCACUGGGAGGGUCCCACUGGGAGGGUCCCACUGGGAGGGUUCCAGUGGGACCCACUGGGACCCACUGGCUCCUACUGGGACGCGACUUACUGGGACCCACUGGGAGGCGGUUGGGGGGGGCAGAAGAGCUGUAUGGGGUCAGAGGUCAACACGGUUCCAGGACGCCCCGGGUCACAGAUCAGACCUGAAGGGACUUCCUAAUCAUUUGAAAUGCGAUCUUCCUCGACCAGACCCUCUGGAGCCGGGAGGAGGCCCGGGACCGCCAUAGGACCCUCAGGGCAGGAGAGAGGGUUGGGUUAGGGUUAGGGUCGGUCCCGGGCCUCCUCCAGACCCUCUGGAGCCUGGAGGAGGCCCGGGACCGCCAGGACCCUCAGGGCAGGAGAGAGGGUUGGGUUAGGGUUAGGGUCGGUCCCGGGCCUCCUCCAGACCCUCUGGAGCCGGGAGGAGGCCCGGGACCGUCAGGACCCUCAGGGCAGGAGAGAGGGUUAGGGUUAGGGUUAGGGUUAGGGUCGGUCCCGGGCCUCCUCCAGACCCUCUGGAGCCUGGAGGAGGCCCGGGACCGUCAGGACCCUCAGGGCAGGAGAGAGGGUUAGGGUUAGGGUUAGGGUCGGUCCCGGGCCUCCUCCAGACCCUCUGGAGCCUGGAGGAGGCCCGGGACCGUCAGGACCCUCAGGGCAGGAGAGAGGGUUAGGGUUAGGGUUAGGGUCGGUCCCGGGCCUCCUCCAGACCCUCUGGAGCCGGGAGGAGGCCCGGGACCGCCAUAGGACCCUCAGGGCAGGAGAGAGGGUUAGGGUUAGGGUUAGGGUCGGUCCCGGGCCUCCUCCAGACCCUCUGGAGCCGGGAGGAGGCCCGGGACCGCCAUAGGACCCUCAGGGCAGGAGAGAGGGUUGGGUUAGGGUUAGGGUCGGUCCCGGGCCUCCUCCAGACCCUCUGGAGCCUGGAGGAGGCCCGGGACCGCCAGGACCCUCAGGGCAGGAGAGAGGGUUGGGGUCGGUCCCGGGCCUCCUCCAGACCCUCUGGAGCCUGGAGGAGGCCCGGGACCGCCAUAGGACCCUCAGGGCAGGAGAGAGGGUUGGGUUAGGGUUAGGGUCGGUCCCGGGCCUCCUCCAGACCCUCUGGAGCCUGGAGGAGGCCCGGGACCGUCAGGACCCUCAGGGCAGGAGAGAGGGUUAGGGUUAGGGUUAGGGUCGGUCCCGGGCCUCCUCCAGACCCUCUGGAGCCGGGAUGAGGCCCGGGACCGUCAGGACCCUCAGGGCAGGAGAGAGGAGGUCAAGCGUUGGUUUCCUGGGGUCUGACUCGACAGGUUGGGCUCCUAGAGGGUCCCCAGACCACGGCCCAUCAGCUCUGGCUCUUUUUUACACAUUGGUCUGCGAUGUCUGCUCCUCCUGCUCCAGCUCCUGCUCUUCCUCCACCCUCCUACCUCUCUGCUCCACCCCCUCACGCUGGGACACGCCCACUCCACUACUAAGUAUAUGCAAACAAAAUAAGGACUGUGUGUCAUGAUAUAUAUUAUUACACUCUCACUGGCGUAGUGCUGCAUGUAUGGACCAGACCCAUGUACUAGCCCAGCUCGCCCGCACUGGGAGGAAGAAAACACUGCGUCUCUGUGCUUUGUUUACUGUUUCCAUGACAACUAGCCAUAUUAGCUCCUAGCUCAACGUGUCGCUAGUCACAUUAGCUCCUUAGCUCCUAGCUUCACAUCAUAGCAUUAAUUCUUACUGAUGAGCAGCAGAAACCAACGUGGCAGUUUGACUCGUGACUGUUGAGUCCAUCGUUCAUACUCUCCUCACUGGGAGCACUGGGAUGAGCCGAACCAGCGCAGAGACCAGCGCCCUGCGGUCGUUAGGGCAGUAUGAAGGGAGAGCUCUGCGGCAGCAGGGAGCCUGCUAGCUCCGUAACCCUAACCCUAACCUCUAGCCCAACACGCUUGAUACGCAAAGCACACUCAAAAAGUAUUCAAACAAAUAUAGAGUCACUAAUUCAAUAUCUUCUGAGCACAAAAAAGACCUGUACAGUUCAUGACGUGGACGUUCAUUCAGAGCUCCAGCCCGGUCUCCUGGUCACCUGACCGCCCGGUCUCCUGGUCACCUGACCGCCCGGUCUCCUGGUCACCUGACCGCACGUCCACAGCAGACAGCCGGGCUCAGAGAACAGGAAAGGAACUGGGAGCCCAGCCGUGGCCGUCUGGUCGUACUGCUCCUCCCAGGACCCCACAGCCACUGAACCCAUUGAGGGACGCCAGGGUCCAGGGCCCUAGGUCCAGGGCCCUGGACCUAGGGCCCUGGGCUAGGGGCGAAGAGAAGCCUGCUGUGAGCCAGUAGAGCAGGAGAGACGGGAGGGGAGGAGAUGAAGGUCAGCCUAGAGACUAGCUGCUCACUCGGGACGGUCGUUUCUCCUGGUCCGGGUAGAGAGAGGUGGGGUUGUCCCACUGAAGGUGAACCUGGUCUGGGUAGAGAGCUGGGGGGUUGUCUCUCUGAAGGUGAUGUGGUACCUGGUCCGGGUAGAGAGCUGGGGGGUUGUCUCUCUGAAGGUGAUGUGGUACCUGGUCUGGGUAGAGAGCUGGGGGGUUGUCUCUCUGAAGGUGAUGUGGUACCUGGUCUGGGUAGAGAGCUGGGGGGUUGUCUCUCUGAAGGUGAUGUGGUACCUGGUACACAAGUCACUGGACCUGCUCAGCUCCCAAUCUUUCCCUUUUGGACAAUCACGGUUUCAAAAGCUCUUUUGGUUUGAAAAAGACCUUCAAAAAGGCAAACACACCCUCCUACGCACAGACAUUUGUUUUUGUUUCAUGCUUCCAGAGACUGUGUUGAUAAUUACAAAGGACUUCCAUUUAAUGAUUACAAUGUCAUUUGUGUUUUUUUAAGUAGUUACUUUUUUAGGUGAAUAUGUUUUUCUAAUUCAAGCCUUUCUUUGCUGGUGAGGUACACGUUGAAGUACAUCAAAACAGUGAUCACUAGCUACAGUGAUGUACAUUCUGUCUGCUUUAGUCUUGUUUUUAUUGGGGUUGGAUUGUGUGGAAACCAUUAACUGAUUGUUGAAUCUUUUUUUACCAUAUCAGCCUCAUAGAUAACACCGCUCUGUGCCACACACGCACACACACACACACACACACACACAGACCUGCAUAUGUGUAUGUACACACACACACACACACACACGUAUCUCUAACUACAUACAUGCAGUUUGUGUGCAUGCUCAGCUGUAGAGACACAAAAGCUCCAUUCAUGAGACGCUUUGAAUAAUCCAACGCUUGAAACCACUGGCGCCGCCCACAUACACAAGACCCCAGAGGACACGCCCCUCACACACUAGUAUGACAUCACAGGACACGCCCCUCACACACUAGUAUGACAUCACAGGACACGCCCCUCACACACUAAUAUGACAUCACAGGACAUGCCCCUGAGACACUAGUAUGACAUCAAAAGACACGCCCCUCACACACUAAUAUGACAUCACAGGACACGCCCCUGAGACACUAGUAUGACAUCACAGGACACGCCCCUGACACACUAGUAUGACAUCACAGGACACGCUUCUCACACACUAGUAUGCAAGCAGGAGUACAGUACCAUGUACAGCUGGACCAUAUACAGAGUGGACCAUGUACAGAGUGGACCAUGUAGAGAGGACCAUGUACCGCGUUCCCAUGGGGGGUGCAUUCAUGUUUACGCUCUGUGUUGCUCUCAGGAGAAACGCUGCCUCCACGUGUCACAUGUCAUACUUCUGUCACAACAUAUCAUGCUACUUGCCUCUCACGUAUGCUAUGACGCCAUCCCUCUCUUAAACACUGUACCUUCUCCCCCCAUGCCAAAGCGAGUCAUUUGAAGAGAGUCUAUAGACACAUUUCGACAUGGCGAACGCACACAGCUACACAGGUGAGCAGGUGGAGGCUUCCAUUUUGCCGAUGCAAAUAUGUUGAAAGAAAGAUAAUCAACUAAAUGUGAAAAAGGCUGGAUUUACUCAGGAAACAAAAGGAAUCUCAUCUCAUUCCCCUGUGAUCCAAACUGGACCGGUUGUUGCUAUGACACAUGAAACGAGACGACACAACUUUUGGCUUUGUCUUCUUUCAUUUCAGCAUGAACGCGUUGUUCGAACCUCCCGCCAUUGAGGAGGUAGCGGCCACCAGGUGGCAGCAAAGUCUCCUCAUCAAUAAAGAAACUGCAGCAUUAAGAGAACAUUUCAGUUGUAGCAAGAAUACACUUUCUUCCUCCUUCCCCCAACUAAAUGUGUGUUAUCAAAGCAAUAUGGCCACCGAUAUAUCCCACCUCUGCACUGUUGGAGCUUAGUGCUAGGCACUUACUUUGUAUUGCGUUAAAAAGCUAAUGUCAAGAAAAGAAUCUCGCCAGUUUGUCGUAUGAGUUUUGAAUGUUUCAAGACUCCAUGUUCUGUUAUGGCUUUACAUAAUCUCUAGAGCGUUAACGAUGAUAAGCGAUAAACCUUGAUUAAAUGUAGCUUUUGUUAUAUUUCUUUUUCGAAAGGCGGCUAUAAAAUGACAAUGAACUAUAUCAAUAAAAUGUGUAAAAAUAUGAUAUCUUGAAAACAGUGUUUCCUUAUAGUCCAAAGGAUUUGUCCGUCAUUACAACGCAUCGAGAACAAAGCAAGUGUUUCAUGUCUGUCAACAUGACACCACCAACAUCACAGGAAUAUUUUUCUAUUAUGGCACAAGAUUGUGGUUCACUGUAAAAAUACGUUGUGUUCAUCAGUUCAGUUCUCCGCUGCAUUUAGAUUCUUUCAUGGGCUGACUCCCCUCGGAUCACGACUACAGCUCAGCUGUGAAGAUCUGCGCUCAGUUCGGGUUCACUGGAUGAAAGGACUCCUGGUUCUCGUGCUUGUGCUGAAGAACAAGCUAAAUGCAGCUGGAUGGCUUCAGAACCAUGAAUACAUGAAUUGUCCAAACAAUGUAGUUGCUAUGUGUAGAUGUAGAACAAUGGGCGAGGAAGGCUCCCCUGACGACCACAUGUGUUCACAACAUCCUCCAGAGACCAGGAUGGGUUAGGGUCAGGGUCAGGGCUAUGGUAAACCCUAACCCUGACCCUAACCCAUCAGGAGACCGGGAGGUUGAACUGGACCGGGUCCAUGAGGCUCACUGUGUCACCAGGGGGGUGACCCCAUGAGGCCUCUUGCUGUCACCAGGGUGGUGACUAUGAGGCUUCAUGCUUUCACCAGGGGUCAUGGCUGUAAUCCCAAUGAUGGCUGUCAGGUUGAAUGAUGAUGGCUCAGAUGAUUGUCAUGUCCAUGACAUUAGUCAAUAAAUAAAAAAUGCAUUGAUAUAGAGACUUAUUAUUUGUGUGUGUGUGUGUGUGUGUGUGUGUGUGUGUGUGUGUGUGUGUGUGUGUGUGUGUGUGUGUGUGUGUGUGUG